GAAUAGGUAGCCCUAAUGGUUAGAGCGCCGAACUCCAAAUUCGGAGGUUGGGGGUUCGAGUCCCUCUCUAUUCG